rnacentral:rRNA from 2 species
AGGUUAACCGUAUAGGGGAGCCGUAGAGAAAUCGAGUCUUAAUAGGGCGUUUAGUUGCUGGGUAUAGACCCGAAACCAGGCGAUCUAUCCAUGAGCAGGUUGAAGGUUGGGUAACACUAACUGGAGGACCGAACCCACUGUCGUUGAAAAGCCAGGGGAUGACUUGUGGAUAGGGGUGAAAGGCUAAUCAAGCCUGGUGAUAGCUGGUUCUCCCCGAAAGCUAUUUAGGUAGCGCCUCGGACGAAUACCAUAGGGGGUAGAGCACUGUUUCGGCUAGGGGGUCAUCCCGACUUACCAAACCGAUGCAAACUCCGAAUACCUAUGAGUACUAUCCGGGAGACAGACUGCGGGUGCUAACGUCCGUAGUCAAGAGGAAAACAAUCCAGACCGCCAGCUAAGGCCCCAAAAUCAUAGUUAAGUGGGAAACGAUGUGGGAAGGCAUAGACAGCUAGGAGGUUGGCUUAGAAGCAGCCACCCUUUAAAGAAAGCGUAAUAGCUCACUAGUCGAGUCGGCCUGCGCGGAAGAUGUAACGGGGCUAAAACUAUGUGCCGAAGCUGCGGAUGUAUACUUUGUAUACGUGGUAGGGGAGCGUUCUGUAAGCCGAUGAAGGUGUGUUGAGAAGCAUGCUGGAGGUAUCAGAAGUGCGAAUGCUGACGUGAGUAACGACAAAACGGGUGAAAAACCCGUUCGCCGAAAGACCAAGGGUUCCAGUCCAACGUUAAUCGGGGCUGGGUGAGUCGACCCCUAAGGCGAGGCCGAAAGGCGUAGUCGAUGGGAAAAUGGUUAAUAUUCCAUUACUUCUGUGUAAUGCGAUGAGAGGACGGAGAAGGCUAAAUCAGCCUGGCGUUGGUUGUCCAGGUGAAAGGAUGUAGGCAUGUAUCUUAGGCAAAUCCGGGGUACUCUAUGCUGAGAUCUGAUAGCAAGCUGUACUUGUACAGCGAAGUGGUUGAUGCCAUGCUUCCAGGAAAAGUCUCUAAGCUUCAGUUACACAGGAAUCGUACCCGAAACCGACACAGGUGGUCAGGUCGAGUAGACCAAGGCGCUUGAGAGAACUCUGCUGAAGGAACUAGGCAAAAUGGUACCGUAACUUCGGGAGAAGGUACGCUGUUGUUGGUGAUGGAACUCGCUUCCUGAGCUGACGACAGCCGCAGAAACCAGGCCGCUGCAACUGUUUAUUAAAAACAUAGCACUCUGCAAACACGAAAGUGGACGUAUAGGGUGUGAUGCCUGCCCGGUGCUGGAAGGUUAAUUGAUGGGGUUAGCGUAAGCGAAGCUCUUGAUCGAAGCCCCAGUAAACGGCGGCCGUAACUAUAACGGUCCUAAGGUAGCGAAAUUCCUUGUCGGGUAAGUUCCGACCUGCACGAAUGGCAUAAUGAUGGCGGCGCUGUCUCCAGCAGAGGCUCAGUGAAAUCGAAAUCGCUGUGAAGAUGCAGUGUACCCGCGGCUAGACGGAAAGACCCCGUGAACCUUUACUGCAGCUUGACACUGAACUUUGACCUUACUUGUGUAGGAUAGGUGGGAGGCUUUGAAGCUGGAACGCUAGUUCCAGUGGAGCCGUCCUUGAAAUACCACCCUGGUAAUGUUGAGGUUCUAACUCUGUCCCGUGAUCCGGGACGAGGACCGUGUCUGGUGGGUAGUUUGACUGGGGCGGUCUCCUCCUAAAGAGUAACGGAGGAGUACGAAGGUGCGCUCAGCGUGGUCGGAAAUCACGCGUAGAGUAUAAAGGCAAAAGCGCGCUUAACUGCGAGACCCACAAGUCGAGCAGGUACGAAAGUAGGUCUUAGUGAUCCGGUGGUUCUGUAUGGAAGGGCCAUCGCUCAACGGAUAAAAGGUACUCUGGGGAUAACAGGCUGAUACCGCCCAAGAGUUCAUAUCGACGGCGGUGUUUGGCACCUCGAUGUCGGCUCAUCUCAUCCUGGGGCUGAAGCAGGUCCCAAGGGUAUGGCUGUUCGCCAUUUAAAGAGGUACGCGAGCUGGGUUUAGAACGUCGUGAGACAGUUCGGUCCCUAUCUACCGUGGGCGCUGGAAAUUUGAGAGGAUCUGCUCCUAGUACGAGAGGACCAGAGUGGACGAACCUCUGGUGUACCGGUUGUGACGCCAGUCGCAUCGCCGGGUAGCUAUGUUCGGAAGGGAUAACCGCUGAAAGCAUCUAAGCGGGAAGCCUACCUCAAGAUAAGAUUUCCCUAGGACUUUAUGUCCUCUAAAGAGCCGUUCGAGACUAGGACGUUGAUAGGUUGGAUGUGGAAGCAUAGUGAUAUGUGAAGCUGACCAAUACUAAUUGCUCGUGAGGCUUGACUAU